AGCAGCAGCCGCGGUAGUACGUAGGUCCCGAGCGUUGUCCGGAUUUAUUGGGCGUAAAGCGAGCGCAGGCGGUUAGAUAAGUCUGAAGUUAAAGGCUGUGGCUUAACCAUAGUACGCUUUGGAAACUGUUUAACUUGAGUGCAGAAGGGGAGAGUGGAAUUCCAUGUGUAGCGGUGAAAUGCGUAGAUAUAUGGAGGAACACCGGUGGCGAAAACGGCUCUCUGGUCUGUAACUGACGCUGAGGCUCGAAAGCGUGGGGAGCAAACAGGAUUAGAUACCCGGGUAGUCCCUGUCUCUUAUACC
rnacentral:rRNA from 1 species